GACUUUGAGUUAGAAUCAAAAGUAUGCCCGCGAAAUAGCUUGGAAUUUCGGCCGUUCUUCGAUCCACUGUCGCGAUCUGUAUAUCCUUUCUGGGAAUCGCCGCCAAAGGAAGAACAUAUUUCUUUUUGAAUUAAAAACAAUCGACCCGUAGGACGAUCGUUAAACGACGAUAAAAAUGAAUGAGGAGCGUGAACGCGUCGAUCCGAUGGCCCUCCUCGAUGACCGUUGUCUAGAUUCUCUUUCUCUAACCGAGAUGAUCGUUUGUGCGGACCCGUAACCGCGACGUAGAAAAGCGCGGAUCGUUGCCAAAUCUUUCGGCAAUGUCCCGAGGACGGAACGACUCUUUAUAUACGACGAACGAAAAUAGGAAGAACAAAUAGACGCGUGUCUACUUCACGUGAGUAAGCGUCUAUGCUCUCUCUCUUUCUCUCUCUCUCUCCCUUCCAACCAUCUGUGAGAUCGCUAACGAAAACUCCAGGGAAUUGGCUUUGCUAUCGAGCGCAUUGAAUCACUUCGACGUUUGACCAUCCAUUUAGAAUAGUUUCCCCUUUGUCCCCGGAUUCCUUCUAUGCAAAAAUAAAACUACCUCCUCUCUCCUUCUCUCUCUUCUUUUCUAAGAUCUAACGUGUACGCGCGCGCGCGCGCGAGAGAGAGAGAGAGAGAGAGAGAGAGAGAGACAGGUGUCAUCGCCCACGUCGAUCUUUAUUUUCGAUCGUCAGCCCGAGCUCGUUUCUUUUACGUUACUAAUGGAAACGUACGAAGAAUAAUCUCCACGAUAGCGUCAUAACUUUUCUCGGAUAGCUGCGAUUUUUCCGAGGGAAAAAUACAACCGAGUUGUAUCUUGUCGCCUGAUCUUUCCGCUUUUAUGCGGUGAUAUCGUACUACGAUAGAGAUAGAGUAUGGCGCCGAGUGGCGCCGGACAACGCACGGCUCGAAUCUUUUGCCGAAUCUAUUUAGAGCAUACGACGCGGCGCCUUGGCGAAGAAGCAACAAGGAAUCCCUGAACGAACGGAAGGAAGAUUGGAAGUAGCAGUGAGCCGAGAUUCGAGUGAAUCAAAUGUGAAUGUGAGUGAUUAGUCUCAAAGAGAUUAAUCAAAAGAGAGCCAAGAGAGUCAUUAAUUCCGCCAUAGAUAUAAUAUUUAUCCGGAUAGGUUCUCUCUCUCGCAGUAAAACGUGCGUGACUUCCAAAGAUAAAGCGGGGAAACUCGUGCUCGAAUAACGAUAUCCCUUCGAGUAGAGUGGAGUUAUCGAGCGACGCGACUCUUUCAAAUUCAAACUACGAAUAUAUAUAUAUAUAUAUAUGUGUGUGUGUGUGUGUGUGUGUGUCGGGAUAAACAGGAUAUCUGCUCGUAAUAGGACUCACUCGUUUCUGGUUUAAUUGCGAGAGAAUUCUUCGAAGAGAGUUAAAGAUAGAGAGAAAAAUAGAGAUAAACAAGAGAGCACGGGAUCGAUUUGAUCGACGAAUUAAGAGUGGACCGUCACUCGAUUCUAAAUCCUUCUCAAAGCGCAAUUUCGUUAUUGAUUCGAGUCGUACCGUAAUUGCGAGAACAAGGACCAGUUUCACUUUAAGAAACUUGACUAGGUCUUAUCAAUCGAGUGACUCUUUUAGUAUAUAGGUCUCUCGAUUAAAAGAAAUUAUAGGGAUCAAAGGUGGUGGAAGCGUCCUUUGGUUGUAGGGUUGUACGAAUUGAAAGCGAUUGGACAAAACACGAACGGGACGAAGUCGAUUGCGAGCGACCGAGAUUAAUGCGUGUUACCGGCGUCAUCCGGCGCGAUGACAAUUAACGAAUCUGCGAAUAACGUCACAUCCUCAUAUCAUCUCGUCUCUCGCCCUCCGACGCGGUUGGCCGCGUGCGAUUUACGCUGGCGUGAACACGCGGGAUGCGCGUGGGAGGAAAGCACGUUUCUCCUUUGCCCCUGAAUUACGAGCGUGCGCGUUCGAGCCGGCACUUAUUCGAACGACGUGGAUCACGGUGAACUGGUUGGCAACAGCAUUGACCUUCUUAAUCCGCUCGCGUGUUUUGGCCUCAUCGAGAAGGAACGUCCAUCCCUUUUCAUCCAACUACACACCCCUUCCAACUACUAGACAUCGAUUGAUGUUAGAAACAUCGUAUCGGUCGUUUUGCGUGAUUUCUCCGCGAACGGUGAACCCUUUCCAAUCUCGUAUCUCUCUUUCUUCCGGUCGAUUUCGUGCGAUACGAGUAACGGUAAAUCGUUACGUCGCGUCUCGUCUCUGGCUACGGCGAUUCAUUAUUCCACUUGGCUAUUCUUUCUCUACAUUACUUUCAUUCCUUUCCCAACUUAGUUCGCAUAUAGGUAUAUACAUAUAUGUAUAUAUAUAUAUAUAGAAGAAGCUACGCACGAUACAUCUCUCAUCGACGACGUCAAAAUCGAUUAUUUCAUUCUCUUAUUUUCUUUCGAAAGAAAACCUCGUCGUUCCGCCUAAAUAAAUUUUGCGAUAGAAAAUUUCAUCUCGGAAGGAACGGAUAAUGACCAUCAUCGUUGUCCUAUGAUGGAUAAUUAUAUAAAUAUCUUGACGGAAGUAAAGCGCGAAAAAGACAAAAUACUGCGUAUAAUAGGACGGCGUCAUGCUAAAAGAAUCGCACAGCUUGCAAGAGAGAGAGAGAGAGAGAGAGAGAGAGAGAGAGAGGGAGAGGGAGAGAGAGGUACGGUAGCUGAAGGGUAGGGACAAAUAUCAUUGGGAAAGAGGGGAGAAACGAGUAGCAAAGUUCAGGCAUUGGCGAUCGGACGGAAAGAAGGGGGAGAAAGGAGUGGUGAUAAAGGUGCGAAGGGGGAACCGAAGGUGCGCCUUCCUAAGAGAGCGAGAAAAAAGACGGACAGAGGCAGUAAGGUAAAAGAAAAAGAAAUACAAAAGAUAGGGGGAAAGCAUCGACGAGAAAAUUUCCAUGACGUGGCUAUGUAGAGCCGCCGUAUACUCUUCGUCGCGAUGUAUGUACGGUAUACAUGUUUCUAUGUAUCGAUGGAUGAACGGCGUACAUGUACAUGCAUAUACAUAUAAAUAUACUUUGUCAUUAUUGCAUUACAUUACGUACGUUACAUACUCGUUGACACGUCAUCAUCGUGCCAAACGAUCGACCUAGGUCCUAAGCGCGCGCUCUCUCUCUCUCUCUCUCUCUCUCUCUCUCUCUCUCUCUCUCUCUCUCUCUCUCUCUCUCUCUCUCUCAAUCUCGCCCCGCUCGAAUUCGGUCGAACCGGUUCUAAAACGACUGCUACUUGCGCCGCGAAAGAAAAAACGCCGGACAGCCGAGGUACUCGAGAAAAUGGCAAACGGCUUAAGAAGAGAUCUUGACUAAAGGCAAAGUCCUUCGGCGAUCUUCUUCCAUUCUCUAUUACGUCUCCUCCUAUACUUUCCUACUUUCUCCAAAAGUUUUAUUUCCGUUCGGUCGUUAAUUUAUUCCUUAUCGUAUGUAUGAAUCUACGUAAACGUCAUAUCCCCUAUCCACGUGCUCGAUAAAUCAAUAAUUCAUUUAUUAAAGAAAAGUUUCUUGGAACAUAUCCAAAUAAUAAUCUUUGGUCAUGAUCCGAAGACUGUCGCUAUGAGUUUUUAAUAGGACGCAGGAAUUGCUGUUUCGAAGGAAAAAAAAGAAGGGAAAAAGGAAGGAAAAGGAAAAAAAAGAUAUUCUUUCUAGGAAGAAAGAAACCGCAAGAAAGUUGCGAUAAACGGGCGAAACAGGAUGAAUACUUUUUCAAUACGAUUAAGCGAUUAUUUCAAAAACUGAAAAGAGUAGAUGAAAAGGGGAAUGUCGUGUGUAGAUAAUUUCUUAUCAAAGAGAAGUGUUUGAUACAUCGAUAGACAUCACGAUAAAAUCGUAAUUGUAUCGAUCGAUUAUGUAUACUUAGAAAGUAAGAGAUAAUGGUUGUACCGAAUAGUAAAGAAAUAUUCGUAACUUGUUUUUAAUGCGCGAUCGAUUUGUCUUUAUGUCUCGACGAAAAGAAAAUUUCUCGAUUCUUAUCGUUACGACGUUCUAAUCUGCGACGUUCGAUUAAAAAAAUGAUAUUUCGCCUUAAUAAAUUGGCUGCCCCAAUUAUUGGCAAUUUUGUCGCGAUUAUGGGUACCCGGUAAUACGAUUUAUUAACGCAUGGGUGAAUUUAUUAUCGACGAUACGACGAAUAGUUACGCUCUAAACCAAAAAGAAACCAAGAGAGAUUGCGCAAAAAUGUCACCGAUUUGCGAAAUUUACUGUCAAACGAUAGUAAAUCUUACCGCAUUGGGAUAUAUUACAUAGUUGCGUCCUCGAAUUCGUACGAAAUUCAAAAUUUUACACAUCGAUGAUAAAUUACUUUUCUUUUGAACAAAAAUUUAUUUUUCACGUAUCGACGCUUUUAUCAAUUUCACGUGGCCGUCAUCAUUGAACCAGGUAAGAAAUGUUUCUACUGAUUAAGUCAAUAGCGAUAUCGCGUGACAUCGAUGUUGUAGACAAAAAAAAAAAAAAAGAAAAAUCAUUUUUAUCGAAUAAUCACGUACUAUGUAAACAAAAAAAAAAAGUUCUUAUUAUUAUGACAUUAUAUAGGUACGAAACUUUAGACGGAAUAUUUCUUUGAAUAGUACUAACGGACGAUCCAAGAUAACGGACUAUUUAUAAGCAUUUAUUUAUUUAUCUGAAGAUAUUAUCUCUUUCUUUUAAUUACGAACGAACGAGUUUAAAAUGUCGGAAGCGAAUCUACAAAGAGCUCUUUUAUCUAUUGUAAAUCGAUCGCUUCUUUUUCUCCACUUGUUCCGUUCGUUCGUCUUCCCAUUACGCAACGCUGUUUAAUGAAAGUUAAAAAAGUAACGCUCAAGUCCGGCUAAAUUUAGCCCGAGAACGCGGAAGCGUAAAAAUACAAAGAAGAAAGAAAAUAAAUAUCUACUCACCUGAAAUUUGCCCCCAUGUACAGGUGGUGCGCUUUGUUUUUGUAUCUUGUGCGACAUCUUCCCGAAAACGUACGGAACGUACUCCGUAUAUCUUCGACUAUCCUUGACUUUUCUCAAUGAAUAAUAACCUGAAUAAAUAUACACUUGUAUUUACUUUUUAUGCGCGUGCGCUUUUCCGCGUGAGCUUUUCCGCGUGCGCUUUCCGCGUACGCUUCUUUUUCAGCUUAUUCCUCUCUCUCUCUCUCUCUCUCUCUCUCUCUCUCUCUCUGGGAUAUUAUCUUCUUUACGACUUAAACUUCCUUUAAACUUUUCGUUCUCACUUUCUAAGCGCUCCUAAAUCAAAAUGGUAUGCAAGAUGAUAAAUAGCCAGACAGCACGUGUACUUGCGUAGACGAUAGACCGAUGAAUACGCACGCGCGUUAAUUUUCCCUUUUUAUGAAUAUGUAUGCGCGCGUAUAUGCGAGUAAGCGUCUCGUCCCAGCUCGUUUCGUAAGCUAAAUUUAAUAUUAGUAAAAUAGAAUAAGAUAGAGAGACGUCGGUAAAUACGAAUAUAUUUAAAAUAAUAGAACACACAGAUGGGAGAAAGUCGAAGAAUAUCGAAGAAUAAAAGAUUACUAUUUAUGAGGUCGAAAGAAUUUUCUUCUUUUAUAUCUUUCUUUUUUGCGUUGAAUUGAUUCUAAUAAAGGAAGAGUUUGCCGUAGCCACGAGCGUCACGCAAAGACUCAAAGAAGAAUGACGACGACGACGACACGAUCCACGAUGUGGGAGGCCGUUAACGCGGUUCGCCCUGCACCUUUCGCCCCCACCACUUCCCUUCCUUUUCUUUCACCCCUCUUCAACUAUUUGCCAUCGUCCCUCUCCCCUCCGGUCCCCUUACCAUUUGCACACCCCACCAUUGCCACCGCCGUUCAUUUUCCUCCGCCGCGCUCUCCUCUAAUCCUCGCCUAAGAUCGUUACGCGCGCCGCACACGAUUACGGUCUCUCUAUCUCAUGGCCAAACUUUACGGGCGAACCUUACUUCUUCGACACACAACCAUUCUUCCCUCUCCUAUUCAAACGUUUCUCUCUCCCUCUCUUCAUUCAGUCUUUCCUUCUCCUCUCUUCUCCCUCUAUCAUUCUAACCAUCACGGUCAUGUUUUUAGCUCUCCUCUCUCCUCAAGCCUUCCCAAUCAUCUCUCGUCUUUAUUCUCUCUGUCUUUCUCUCUCUCUCUCUCUCUCUCUAUAUUGAUAUAUUUUACGAGGAACAUUGAUCUUUUCGUUAGUUCCAGAGAUAAGUUUCUUCGAUUUGUUUCUUCAACCUGUCAGCGCAGGUAAUAAAAAAAGAUGAGAAAACAGGUGCCAAAUGCGCUCAUAAAAAAAAUAAUCUCAUUGUAAAGGAGAAUGAAAUUGCGAAAGAAUGAAUUAUCGAUCGUUUGUUAUGAUCCAUAAUGCGACUUUUCUUAUCGCCUCGGGGAAAAAAGAUAUCGGCACUUCCGAAAGUGAGAUAUGAUUUUAUAUCUUAAUGUAUGGAAAUAAUGGUAACUAAUAUAAAAUUAAUGUAAAAGUUAUCGUUAUGUAAUAAAACUAUCGAAGCGUUUAUACUCU